rnacentral:rRNA from 1 species
AUACGGGGGGUGCAAGCGUUAUUCGGAUUUAUUGGGCGUAAAGAGCGCGUAGGCGGCUUGGUAAGUCAGAUGUGAAAGCCCGGGGCUCAACCCCGGAAGUGCAUUUGAAACUAUCAGGCUUGAGUAUGGGAGAGGGAAGUGGAAUUCCUGGUGUAGAGGUGAAAUUCGUAGAUAUCAGGAGGAACACCGGUGGCGAAGGCGACUUCCUGAACCAAUACUGACGUUGAGGCGCGAAGGCGUGGGGAGCAAACAGGAUUAGAAACCCCAGUAGUCC